GAUGAACGCUGGCGGCGUGCCUAAUACAUGCAAGUCGAACGAAACUUCUUUAUCACCGAGUGCUUGCACUCACCGAUAAAGAGUUGAGUGGCGAACGGGUGAGUAACACGUGGGCAACCUGCCCUAAAGAGGGGGAUAACACUUGGAAACAGGUGCUAAUACCGCAUAACCAUAGUUACCGCAUGGUAACUAUGUAAAAGGUGGCUAUACUACCGCUUUUGGAUGGGCCCGCGGCGCAUUAGCUAGUUGGUAGGGUAAAGGCUUACCAAGGCAAUGAUGCGUAGCCGAAUUGAGAGGUUGAUCGGCCACAUUGGGACUGAGACACGGCCCAAACUCCUAAGGGAGGCAGCAGUAGGGAAUCGGCCGCAAUGGGCGAAAGCCUGAUGGAGCAACGCCGCGUGGGUGAAGAAGGUCUUCGGAUCGUAAAACCCUGUUGUUAGAGAAGAAAGUGCGUGAGAGUAACUGUUCACGUUUCGACGGUAUCUAACCAGAAAGCCACUGCUAACUACGUG
rnacentral:rRNA from 1 species